rnacentral:tRNA from 1 species
GUACCCGUAGCUCAGCUGGGAGAGCGCCACCUUGACGCGGUGGAGGUCACAGGUUCGAGCCCUGUCGGGUACACCA